UACAGAGGGUGCGAGCGUUAAUCGGAAUUACUGGGCGUAAAGCGCACGUAGGCGGCUUGGUAUGUCGGGUGUGAAACCCUCCGGGCUCAACCUGGGAACUGCAUCCGAAACUGCCUUGCUAGAGUAUGGGAGAGGGAAGUGGAAUUUCCGGUGUAGCGGUGAAAUGCGCAGAUAUCGGGAAGAACACCCGUGGCGAAGGCGGCUUUCUGGGACGGUACUGACGCUGAGACGCGAAAGCGUGGGGAGCGAACAGG
rnacentral:rRNA from 1 species